rnacentral:rRNA from 1 species
UACAGAGGUCCCAAGCGUUGUUCGGAUUCACUGGGCGUAAAGGGUGCGUAGGUGGUUCGGCAAGUCCGCUGUGAAAUCUCCAGGCUCAACCUGGAAAUGGCAUUGGAUACUAUCUAGCUUGAGGAGUGGAGGGGGGACUGGAAUUCUCGGUGUAGCAGUGAAAUGCGUAGAUAUCGAGAGGAACACCAGUGGCGAAGGCGAGUCCCUGGACACUUCCUGACACUGAGGCACGAAAGCUAGGGGAGCAAACAGG